rnacentral:rRNA from 1 species
UAAAUAUCCCACGGGAUAGCUGAAGGAUGGACUUAUGGCGCAUUAGCUAGUUGGUAGGGUAACGGCCUACCAAGGCGACGAUGCGUAGCCGACCUGAGAGGGUGGACGGCCACACUGGGACUGAGACACGGCCCAGACUCCUACGGGAGGCAGCAGUAGGGAAUUUUCGGCAAUGGGGGAAACCCUGACCGAGCAACGCCGCGUGAGGGAGGAAGUAUUUCGGUAUGUAAACCUCUGUUAUAAAGGAAGAACGGUGCAUGUAGGGAAUGACAUGCAAGUGACGGUACUUUAUGAGGAAGCCACGGCUAACUACGUGCCAGCAGCCGCGGUAAUACGUAGGUGGCGAGCGUUAUCCGGAAUUAUUGGGCGUAAAGAGGGAGCAGGCGGCAGCUAAGGUCUGCGGUGAAAGCCCGAAGCUAAACUUCGGUAAGCCGUGGAAACCGAGCAGCUAGAGUGCAGUAGAGGAUCGUGGAAUUCCAUGUGUAGCGGUGAAAUGCGUAGAUAUAUGGAGGAACACCAGUGGCGAAGGCGACGAUCUGGGCUGCAACUGACGCUCAGUCCCGAAAGCGUGGGGAGCAAAUAGGAUUAGAUACCCUAGUAGUCCACGCCGUAAACGAU